GUGUACACCCUUUUGUGCGGAGGGCCUUUUGCUGAAGACCCUUUUUUGACAAUUUUUGGCAGGCCCAACGGAAUUGGGCCUU
rnacentral:snRNA from 1 species